rnacentral:rRNA from 1 species
GAUGAACGCUGGCGGCGUGCCUAAUACAUGCAAGUCGAGCGAACAGACGAGGAGCUUGCUCCUCUGACGUUAGCGGCGGACGGGUGAGUAACACGUGGAUAACCUACCUAUAAGACUGGGAUAACUUCGGGAAACCGGAGCCAAUACCGGAUAAUAUAUUGAACCGCAUGGUUCAAUAGUGAAAGACGGUUUUGCUGUCACUUAUAGAUGGAUCCGCGCCGCAUUAGCUAGUUGGUAAGGUAACGGCUUACCAAGGCGACGAUGCGUAGCCGACCUGAGAGGGUGAUCGGCCACACUGGAACUGAGACACGGUCCAGACUCCUACGGGAGGCAGCAGUAGGGAAUCUUCCGCAAUGGGCGAAAGCCUGACGGAGCAACGCCGCGUGAGUGAUGAAGGUCUUCGGAUCGUAAAACUCUGUUAUUAGGGAAGAACAAAUGUGUAAGUAACUAUGCACGUCUGGACGGUACCUAAUCAGAAAGCCACGGCUAACUACGU